rnacentral:piRNA from 1 species
GACAGGGAGAAUUCUUAGAGCCAUU